rnacentral:rRNA from 1 species
UACGAAGGGGGCUAGCGUUGCUCGGAAUCACUGGGCGUAAAGCGCACGUAGGCGGGUUCUUAAGUCAGGGGUGAAAUCCUGGAGCUCAACUCCAGAACUGCCUUUGAUACUGGGAAUCUCGAGUCCGGGAGAGGCGAGUGGAACUGCGAGUGUAGAGGUGAAAUUCGUAGAUAUUCGCAAGAACACCAGUGGCGAAGGCGGCUCACUGGCCCGGUACUGACGCUGAGGUGCGAAAGCGUGGGGAGCAAACAGG